rnacentral:rRNA from 1 species
CCUACGGGCGGCUGCAGUGAGGAAUAUUGGUCAAUGGACGAGAGUCUGAACCAGCCAAGUAGCGUGAAGGAUGACUGCCCUAUGGGUUGUAAACUUCUUUUAUAUGGGAAUAAAAUGUUCCACGUGUGGGAUUUUGUAUGUACCAUAUGAAUAAGGAUCGGCUAACUCCGUGCCAGCAGCCGCGGUAAUAUGGAGGAUCCGAGCGUUAUCCGGAUUUAUUGGGUUUAAAGGGAGCGUAGGUGGAUUGUUAAGUCAGUUGUGAAAGUUUGCGGCUCAACCGUAAAAUUGCAGUUGAAACUGGCAGUCUUGAGUACAGUAGAGGUGGGCGGAAUUCGUGGUGUAGCGGUGAAAUGCUUAGAUAUCACGAAGAACUCCGAUUGCGAAGGCAGUUCACUGGACUGCAACUGACACUGAGGCUCGAAAGUGUGGGUAUCAAACAGGAUUAGAUACCCGUGUAGUC